rnacentral:rRNA from 1 species
UACGUAGGGGGGCAAGCGUUGUCCGGAAUCAUUGGGCGUAAAGAGCGUGUAGGCGGUUCGGUAAGUCGGCUGUGAAAGUCCAGGGCUCAACCCUGGGAUGCCGGUCGAUACUGCCGGACUAGAGUUCGGAAGAGGCGAGUGGAAUUCCCGGUGUAGCGGUGAAAUGCGCAGAUAUCGGGAGGAACACCUAUGGCGAAGGCAGCUCGCUGGGACGUUACUGACG